rnacentral:rRNA from 1 species
UGGGCUACAAAUUUCCCGGAUACUUCACUUUCUUCAAUCACUCGCACAACCUCGGAUCAUGUUCCCAUUCGCCUUUCGGCCAAAACAACUAUAGCCAAAUCUUCAGUUUUCCGCUUGGAUCGCUCACUCCUAAACAUACCACUAUUUAGAGAGAAGGUGGCUAUGAAUUGGACAAGCGUUUGUGCCCGUCAUAACCACCUUGGCGCCGCCGGGGUUCUCUCCCUUAAGUUAAAACGCACUAGAAACAUGGCCAAACAGUGGAUGUCAAACCGACGUUCUCCAAAAAUUCUAGCUCUGAACUGUCAUGCUACUAUCAACUUCCUAGACAAGAUUGAGGAGGCCCGGCCUCUAACCCACCUCGAGUCUACUCUUCGAAUUGCGGUCAAGCUAUCUCUACACCGCCACAAUGCUGCCAUUGCUGCCUACCGGAGGCAACGUGCAAAAAUCAAAGACUGCGUUUUUGGCGACGAAAACUCGGCCUAUAUGCAUAUCUGUGCGUCCGCUAGACAUCGCAAAAAUCAAAUUAAGUCUCUCACUCACGAGGGUCUCACCUUCUCCGCUCACUCCGACAAGGAAGCAGUCCUCCUUCUCUUUUUCAAGAAUUUGGUAGGAACGAGCGCUCCCGUGUCCACCUCCUUCAACCUCGAAAGUUUGCUUUUGCCUAACGCGAUCAACGCAACCCAAGCCUCCGAUCUCCUGAAGCCUUUUACCCUAGAAGAAAUUAAGGAAGCCCUAUGGGCCAUGAAGGACGACGCUAGCCCCGGACCGGACGGUUUUGGCCCGUCUUUCUACAAAUCAAAUUGGAACCUAGUCAAAACAGAUCUCCUCAAUCUGCUGAACGAAUUCCAUGCGGGCACCGCUGAUCUUCAGCGAAUCAAC